GCCAAUGAGGCUGCAGCAGAACACUGCCAGCGGCCUGACGUGGGACAACAAAAGCCAAAGCACCAUGGGUACACGGACGGAGGCUGGCUAACACCCCACGCUACAUUUGAAGGCUGUCGGCACUAAAUUGGUAUCAGGGACAAAGGGGAGAAUUUCUCAAAGGACAACACAUCUACAUCGGAUUAAUUUGUCAAGAAAAGCAUCAAGAUUCUGAAGGAACAGCCAAACUACAGGCCUCAGUUCAAUGAAAAUGUUGUGCCUGGCAGUUGUUGGAACAUGCCCAGUGGGGUUGUGGCAGGGAGGAGGAUUAGACUGUAAGAUGUUUGAAAUAAAGCCUUUCUGAAGCAACAGGUAUGUUUAGUUACUGUGCAGAUCUAAAUGCAUGUCUAUCACAAAAUUCUCUCUUUUAAUCAUCAACAUUUCGCUCAGUGGCUAUGACCACUGACUGUAUAUGAGAACUGGAUGAGUGGUGAGAGUGAUGUCACCCAUAGAAAAUGGCUUACUUCCAGCUCCAAAAAAAUGAAGUCAAUUCAGCGCCAUUUUUCACAAAGCGGACAGCGCCAUGUUGGAGCCAGACGACGUCAGUAAGCAGUAAUGGGUCUGAGUCGAGCUGAUUUAACAUUUCUAUACGUUCAAAAGU